GCAAGUCGAGCGAGAAGGUAAAGUUUUCUUGUUCGGAAGAAGAUUUCACUGGAGAGCGGCGGACGGGGGAGUAACGCGCGGGUAACCAGUCCUAUACAUAGGGAUAGCGUUGGAAAUGAAGAGUAAUACCUGAUAAAACAUAUCCACUGCAUGGUAGAAAUGUUCAAAGAUUUAUCGCCUAGGGAUGAACCCGCGUCUGAUUAGCUUGUUGGUGAGGUAAUGGCUCACCAAGGCGACGAUCAGUAGCCGACCUGAGAGGGUGAUC
rnacentral:rRNA from 1 species